GUGGGGAAUAUUGGACAAUGGGCGCAAGCCUGAUCCAGCCAUGCCGCGUGAGUGAUGAAGGCCUUAGGGUUGUAAAGCUCUUUCAGUGGGGACGAUAAUGACGGUACCCACAGAAGAAGCCCCGGCUAACUUCGUGCCAGCAGCCGCGGUAAUACGAAGGGGGCUAGCGUUGUUCGGAUUUACUGGGCGUAAAGCGCACGUAGGCGGAUCGUUAAGUCGGGGGUGAAAUCCUGGAGCUCAACUCCAGAACUGCCUUCGAUACUGGCGAUCUUGAGUCCGGAAGAGGUGAGUGGAACUCCUAGUGUAGAGGUGGAAUUCGUAGAUAUUAGGAGGAACACCAGUGGCGAAGGCGGCUCACUGGUCCGGUACUGACGCUGAGGUGCGAAAGCGUGGGGAGCAAACAGGAUUAGAAACCCUGGUAGUCC
rnacentral:rRNA from 1 species